rnacentral:rRNA from 1 species
GAUGAACGCUGGCGGCGUGCCUAAUACAUGCAAGUCGAGCGAACAGACGAGGAGCUUGCUCCUCUGAUGUUAGCGGCGGACGGGUGAGUAACACGUGGAUAACCUACCUAUAAGACUGGGAUAACUUCGGGAAACCGGAGCUAAUACCGGAUAACAUGUUGAACCGCAUGGUUCAACAGUGAAAGACGGUCUUGCUGUCACUUAUAGAUGGAUCCGCGCCGCAUUAGCUAGUUGGUAGGGUAACGGCUUUCCAAGGGAACGAUGCGUAGCCCACCUGAGAGAGGGGUCGGCCACCUGAGAGGUGAGCCACGCUCAUGGCGCCUACGAGAGGCCGCAGUAUGGUAUGGUACGCAAUGGGGGAAAGUCUGACGGAGCGGGGGCGCGCGAGUGGAGAAGGUCUUGGGUUCGUAAAACUGUGUUACUAGGGAAGAACAAAUGUGUAAGUAAAUAUGCAGUUAGUGACGGUACCGAGUAAGAAAGCCACGGCUAACUACGUG